rnacentral:rRNA from 1 species
CCUACGGGUGGCAGCAGUGAGGAAUAUUGGUCAAUGGACGAGAGUCUGAACCAGCCAAGUAGCGUGAAGGAUGACUGCCCUAUGGGUUGUAAACUUCUUUUAUAUGGGAAUAAAAUGUUCCACGUGUGGGAUUUUGUAUGUACCAUAUGAAUAAGGAUCGGCUAACUCCGUGCCAGCAGCCGCGGUAAUACGGAGGAUCCGAGCGUUAUCCGGAUUUAUUGGGUUUAAAGGGUGCGUAGGCGGGUUGGUAAGUCAGUUGGGAAAGUUUGCGGCUCAACCGUAAGAUUGCAGUUGAAACUGGCAGUCUUGAGUACAGUAGAGGUAGGCGGAAUUCGUGGUGUAGCGGUGAAAUGCUUAGAUAUCGCGAAGAACUCCGAUUGCGAAGGCAGCUCACUGGACUGCGACUGACGCUGAGGCACGAAAGUGUGGGUAUCAAACAGGAUUAGAUACCCGUGUAGUC